AGGCGAGAGAGAAGAAGGACGGCCAUUUUCGCAAGUGCCAUGUUAUUUGUUUCUGGAGGAGCUGAAGUUUUAGAAAAGUGAUCAAAAGUUAAUGAAGACACUGAAGUUUUUCUUUGAGAACAUUCAAUAGAAGGACUGUAAUUGUUGAGUUGUGUUUGAUGAAGACGGGUGCCGAAUUCGUCGAGUUUUCUUUGUUGCAACCCUGUCUCGGUCAAGUUUUUUGUUGGAUUUGAAAAUCCUGGAAGAAGAUUCAUCGAUCUCAAUAGAUGGCGAGCCAACCCAUUUGAUUUCUGUCAUUGAAUCCUGUCCACUGAAGGAGCCGGAUACCCUUUCUGCUUUGUGGUAGGAUCGAACCACUCACUCCACUGGUCAUCACUCUUCGGAUAUCCACACACUGACUAUUGACUUGACUAACUUGACUUUACACUUAAACCAAGGAUUAGAAAAGGAACUUUUAACAUUUAAGGAAACACAGCCAGUCAACUGAAAGGACCAUUUCUUUUAUUUUCAAAGGGCCCAUUUUAUUUUCGUACAUGUGUAUUUGUACUUGGUUCAAUUAUACAUUUGGUUACUAAAGCACAAGUAACUUUAACCCUGGUGUGUGUCUGCUUAUUGCACUUGAACUCCCCUCCUCACGAACCUAGAGCGAAGGUGUACUUACCCAAGAGUGGGUUACACAAGGAGAGAAAUUAGAAAAAUGUGUUACAGCUCUGUCUGCUAUUUACACCCAUUCUUCUUGAUACAUAAUGAAUAAAUAUGAACAUUUAUAAAAUGUUUAUCAGUACAUUAGACUACUUUGCAAAUUGCUAAACCAUAUAAUAGCCUGUCCCACCAUCAUUAUUUAAAUAGCAUAAUGCUAGAAUUUAAAUGCAAAAAAAUGUCCAGCUCAGGUUCAGAUGAUUAAAGCUUUAUAGGCUAGGGAAUGUAAAACUUAAGUUCCAGUUUACACCAUUCAAAUUGUGAUAUCUUUUCUAGCUUUUGUAUCCAUUAUGUUCUAUAAAACAUGAUAUUAUAUUCUGCAGUGCAAAGAUGCCCACUAAAGACAUGUUUUAAAUAAAGUUAACACGUUUUCUGAAAA